ensembl:lncRNA
AUUUUUAGAAAAGAAGGAGCUGGGAUAGCCAGCCACACACUCCUUCCCUACUGUGGGUGAAGUUUUGCUGCCUCCUGCUCCUGCAGGAGUGGAGUGUUCAUUCUCUGAUACUCUGUCUACCCUCCGGACUCCUGACUCAGGCAUCCAACUUCGUUCUGGCCACACUCUGAAGUUUGACCUCAGCUGCAAUGUCUGGAGGCUGAGUGGAGCUGCAGUCAGAUCCCAGCUAAACUCCCAGGACCCUUCCUUCUUGAAGAUCCAGGGUCACUGCCCAGACCAGGUUGGUCUAUCUAUCACCUCCCCUCCUUGACAUGCACCCCAAGGACUCAGUACAGCUACCACCCACCUGAAGGUGAUUUUCUCCCCCAAAGACAGUCUGUGCUGCUCCUUACAUCUUAUUGAGCCUUGAAGACAAGCCAAGGGGUUCUCAGUUAAGUGGUUGCCUAUAGGUCAGCAUUGACCAAGGCAUUGCCAUUGACCAAACUCCAUCCAUGGUUUCUGUCUUUCUUAGGCUAUUCUCAGAUGCCCUUUAGAAAUCUUGCCUGUCUCUGAUCCCUGACCCCAAAGCUCACUAACUAAUCUCCUGUUUUUCCAGGUAGGACUGAGCUUUCAAACAGGGCAGAACUCCAUUGUCCUUCUGGUCUUGGGGGAAUUGUCUGCUUUUUUAGGGACCCCUGGUCUUGGAGGCUGGGUUAUAAGGACUGGAGUUUAGAAGACUGUUCACAGGAAGGCACCCUCUAGGCCACAGCCUGCUACCCUGGGUCUGUUGAACCAUUUCCUGGGACCCCUCACCCACAGUACUUCCUGAUCUGCAUGUGGUCUUGAACUCUCAAUCCAUGUUUACUGAGAGCUGAUGAUGUGGGGAUGGGAGUAGAAUAAGGCACAGCCCCAAAGAGGAGGGUUGCGAAGGAGUGUCUACAUGGCAGUUUGAAACCUACUUUGGUAAAAAUAGCCUCAGAGAUAUUCCCCACCUCUCCUGGGCCACAGGCGUCUUGUACCCAAGAAGACCCAGACUUUGGAAAAUUCAGGAAGUCACUUGGGGGAAAAAAAAAUCGCUCCCAGUAUAUAUUUUCUUUGAAGAGUGUGAUAACAAAAAUAGAGUCACGCAUAAAAGGAAGAAGACGAAAUGAAAACAUGCAGUAAAAGACAACAUCCGCUCUCAUUUCAGUUUCCUGGAAGCGGAAUGUGGUUGGGCAGAUGGUGCUCUUUUGUUUCACUAGAAGAAACGAUAAGAUGUAAAUAUGCACGGCCGGCUUCAGCAGGGCAGGAUGGAGAAGGGGCUCCUGUCUCCGUGGGCUCGCUGAUUUUCUCGGCAGGUUGGGGUUUUUCCUCUCUAAGUUGCAUCGAUCGUCCUUGCUGGGUUCCAAAAAUUUAGACAGACAGUUCGCAAUCGGGGUUCAGGAGUUCUUUAGAGUUCCAUAAAUGGGCCACCAGGGAGUCUGUGAAUUCCCUUACCUCGCUUGAUACUAGGUUGUUGGAGUAUGCAUUUUCUACGGUGGCUUCUCUAUUUUUCGAGAUGUGAGUAAGAGACUCAAUGUCCACUGCCGUCUUGCCUCUUCCCUCCACACCGUCCACAGUUUGUGUGACGUUCCACAUGGCUUUGCAGAGCUCGUUCCUACCACCACCUCACAUUUGCAUGGCGUUGGAGACUCUUCAAACUCUUUCCCAUGAAACAAUCUUGUUCGAUUCAGUGACAAGGGCAGAACCAGUAGCCCUAUUUUACAGCAGAGGAAAAGAAACUUAGAGCUGCGACCCAGCUGCCUUGUGGACCCAUGCACAACGGGGCAGGGGUCGGGCAGGCAUUUCUCAUCACCUCUGAUGAUCCCUAGUCUGGUGAGACUUCUGCUCCUGUUUUUUGCCCUCAUUUGGGGCUGGGGGGCGGGGUGUGGUAAGCCCAAAAAUUGUUAUUAGUAUUUGGUAUCAUUGAGGAUUGGGGGCAUUUGAGUCUAAGACAUAUAUGAAAUGAAAAAGGGAACCAGAGCAGACCAGACGUCACCAUGCUUCUCAUUCUAAUUCAUUAUAUACAUUUGACUCCCUCACAGGUCAUUUUGAAGCAAAAGUAUUUUAUUUAGCUCUGCGUGUUCAGUGCCAAAACAGAGCCCUUCUGGUACAUAGGAGAUGCUCCAAUACUUGAGGUAUACAUGAGUGACUGCAAGUGUGGAAUAACAAACUAGAACUAGAUGUACAGGAAUAAAUUGCCUUACUGUCCAGAAACCUACUGGAAGGCUAGCAUGAGUUCUCAGAAAGAGCUUGGCUAAAGUUUUUGAAAUGGCCACCCAAAAUUACAGGAUGAUGGCAAAGUUUGCUGGAAGACUUUUGGCCAGGAAAUAGUAAACCUCAUUGAUGGAGAGGUUCCCGUUCCCCGUGGCCCUAGAUCAGAGGUACGGACCACCCCAUCUUGACGUCACUAUUGAACUAGCUCUUAGGUUGUUAGGCCUAGUGAGUUGUGCUCCUAAUGAGAUAAGCUGUUCUUAAGCCAGUGACACUCUCCUGGGUGCGAGACAGAAAGACCUCUUUCCUCUAAAAACCAGCUUCCAAAUUCCAACAACCAAAACAAGGAUGAGAUGGUGCUGUGAAGACAUGCCCCAAAGCGCUCUCGAGAAGGAGAAGCGGGGGAUGGGAGGCUGCUGCAAUGAGCACUGUUAAGUCCAGAUUCCAAAUGAAACAGGAGGCAGAUAAAUGGUACAGGAGGGUUUCAAGGAAGGGGGUGGGGGGGUAACCCCAGUCUGACCCUUGGAUCCAGCAGGAAUCCCAGCUGGGCUGCCCUUUUUCGCACAGUUGGAAGGGUCAGUCUUACACAUUUAAAAUGUGGUUCUCAAAAAAAAAAAAAA